CAAGACCCAUCUGUAAGGAAAGCUUUGAUAGUAUGCAGAGUAAUAGCUGGGAGAGUUCAUAAGCCUUUGGAUAAUAUACAAGAAAUAUCUGGCCAAACAGGGUUUGAUUCAUUAGCAGGAAAAGUUGGUCUCUACUCAAAUAUUGAGGAGCUGUAUCUUCUAAAUCCCAGAGCUCUUCUUCCUUGCUUUGUGGUAAUCUGCAAAACCUGACCAGAAGACAGUAAAAGAAUCACUUACAAUUUGCUAUCAAAUCCACCUUAAUUUGCAUCUAUAUAGCCUUCUACUUUUAGAUGACCAUGUUUGGCAAGCAACAGUCCCUUGGAGCUGAUUUCAGAUAACUUAAAAAAUCCACCGCUUUGGGGAACAGUGAAAUAUCUCUCUGAGAAAAUUCCAAAAGAUACUUCUAGCAAGGUGCGGAUAAAUCGCGAUCUCUAUUCUCAUGAAAAAAUAAUGGAGACAGCACCGACAUUGCCCGAUUUUGCUUUGUCCCUGAAACCCGACGAGUAUCAGCUUCCUUCGGUGGAUUCAUCUUGGAACGAAGAGAAUGUGAAUGGAGGGUAAGCCUAUUCCGACAAAUCAAGAGUGAAGGCUGUUUGUAAUCUUUGCAGAAAGAAGCUAUACUACAAAAGCCAUCUCAAAAACUUGGAGUGGCCAAUUAAACAGGUGUAUCAUUCUUCAACUGUGUACCAAAGAUCCACUUUAGCCCCACAUUUUUUAAGUAAAGUUUUCUUUUUCUUUUCCAAGAUUUCUUUUCCAACCUUAAAGCUUUGUAGCUUACCCUGUAAUAGAGCUUUGUGCAAGUUCCUGUUGUGUGUAAAUUUCUUGCUGCGGAAAAAGAAUUGUUUUCCUUGCUUGUAAAAUUGAUUAUAGCAACAAACAUGAUUUUCUCUCUC